GAUGAACGCUGACAGAAUGCUUAACACAUGCAAGUCUUUGGCGAAGCUGUGCUCGCCCAGCCUAGCCAAGGCGGACGGGUGAGUAACGCGUAAGGAACUUGCCCUGCAGUCAGGGAUAACAGACGGAAACGACUGAUAAGACCUGGUAAAGUCAGGCGGACUCAUGUCCAGCCUGAUGAAAAGAGAUGCUGCAGGAGAGCCUUGCGUCCUAUUAGCUUGUUGGUGGGGUAACGGCCCACCAAGGCGAUGAUAGGUAGCCGGCCUGAGAGGGUGGACGGCCACAAGGGGACUGAGAUACGGCCCUUACUCCUACGGGAGGCAGCAGUGGGGAAUAUUGGACAAUGGGGGCAACCCUGAUCCAGCAAUUCUGUGUGCACGAUGAAGGUUUUCGGAUUGUAAAGUGCUUUCAGCAGGAAAGAAAAAAAUGACGGUACCUGCAGAAGAAGCGACGGCUAAAUACGUG
rnacentral:rRNA from 1 species